GACGGAGGGCGCGGGCGUAUUCGUUUUGAUUGGGUGUAAAGGGUAUGUAGGCUGUCCGCGGAAGUCUGGCAAAAAUAGCGGAGUGUUCCUACGCACGUGCCUUUGUUAAGCGGUCUUGAGUUAUAGAGAGGUAGGAACAAGCUCUCAAGAAGGGUAAAAUCCUGCGAUAUGAGACCGAAUGUCAGCUGGCGAAGGCGUCUUUCCCGCUUUAACUGACGCUAAGGUACGGAAGCCUGGGGCGCAAACGAG
rnacentral:rRNA from 1 species